rnacentral:rRNA from 1 species
GACGAACGCUGGCGGCGUGCUUAACACAUGCAAGUCGAACGGAAAGGCCCUGCUUUUGUGGGGUGCUCGAGUGGCGAACGGGUGAGUAACACGUGAGUAACCUGCCCUUGACUUUGGGAUAACUUCAGGAAACUGGGGCUAAUACCGGAUAGGAGCUCCUGCUGCAUGGUGGGGGUUGGAAAGUUUCGGCGGUUGGGGAUGGACUCGCGGCUUAUCAGCUUGUUGGUGGGGUAGUGGCUUACCAAGGCUUUGACGGGUAGCCGGCCUGGGAGGGUGACCGGCCACAUUGGGACUGCGAUACGGCCCAGAAGCCUACGGGAGGCAGCAGUGGGGAGUAUUACACAAUGGGCGGAAGCCUGAUGCAGCAACGCCGCGUGCGGGAUGACGGCCUUCGGGUUGUAAACCGCUUUCGCCUGUGACGAAGCGUGAGUGACGGUAAUGGGUAAAGAAGCACCGGCUAACUACGUG